AAUCCUCAAAACCCUUUUCUCUUUGAAAGGAUUUUGGACUUUGGAGGUUUGAUGCUCGCCUUUUGCUUUCAAAAGCGAGCUCCUCUCAAAUGAAUUAGUGGGGUUUGCUUUGCCGAUCCUUGACGUGAUAAGAUGCUUCUACGUUUUUGGAUUUGGCACCGAUGCCCGCUUCUAACCGUCCGUCUCACGGACGUUGAUGGUGCUCUGGUCAUCGCCAAUCUACAUUGGCGGGGGAGGCUGGACCCACAAUAAAAAGGA
rnacentral:misc_RNA from 1 species